UGCGAGUAGUGGGCCUUUUAGGGACGGCAACCAUUAAAUUCUGAGACCGGCGGACUUGUCUUGUCCCUUCAUCGCUCUGCCGAUACCUAAUUCGACUCACCAAGCCACAUGCUGCAUUACCAACCGGAUUCCCAUACCUUGGUCUCCUCUUCACCACCCAUGGCCGCCCUCUUGCUACUGACUUCCUUUUCAAUGGAUUUCGAGGAGCUAAUGACGUGAAUUUGACUGAUUCUGCUACCAUCACAUCCGAUGGAGUCCUCCAGCUGACAAAUGCAACCGAUCAGGGAUAGACCGGCCAUGCCUUCCUUCUCUUCUCAGGUGCGCAUGCUCCACAUCCGUUCUUCUUCCAAGCCAGCCGCUCUCUCUCCUUCAGCACCGCCUUCGUGUUCGACAUCGUCUCUUUGACCGGCGGAGGCGGUCAUGGCUUGGCCUUCGUCGUCUCUCCCUCGAACAAUCUCUCCGAAGCCCAACGUGGUCCGUACCUCGGACUCUUCAGCCGAAACGACACCGGCAACUCUUCCAAUCAUAUAUUAGCCGUCGAGUUCGACACCGCGAGGAAUUACGAUACGGAGCGUGACAUCGACGACAACCACGUCGGCGGUCAACAGCAUCAUCUCCGACGUAUCCGAGUCUCCGUCCUACUACACGAGCGAGCACGAGAACGUGGCGGUGAUGCUGGAGAGCGGGCAACCGAUCCAGGCUUGGAUCGACUACGAUGGCGCCACCGACAUACUUAAUAUCUAUCGCAGGUUUUCGAGGAGUUCAUGUACGUCGGCUUCUCAGCUGCGACCGGGAAUCCGUCGAGUAAUCACUACAUAUCGGGAUGGAGCGGAGUUUCACGCCCUUUCGGCGACCUCUUCCCGCAGUGGAUAGGACCGUCGUCAUCGGUCUAAAGAGCGACUGUACCAAAGAUCCUAUCGUCAUCGGUCUAAAAGCGACUGUACCAAAGAUCAGAGCAGUGUUUACGAUUGUUAAGAAAUUUAUAGGCAGCUGAAAAAAAUCCUCCCUACUGAAUACGUAUAAUCAGUAUAAUUUUCCUAUUGAAUGUGUAUAAAUAG